AAGCCAGGACGACUACGAGACCGGCACACCAACUGCGAGCAGUUUAAGUAGCCCGGUCCACAUCCACAAGCUUGCCUCUCAUUCUCAGUUCAGUGCAGCGCCUCACCCUCCACCACCUGAGAGGCCUGCACCGGGGAUGAUGCGGCCACCUGUUCCCACCACACAAGGGAUACCUCGGCCACCUGUUCCCACCACACAAAUAACCAACCCGAUGUUCCAGUCAGCUACAUCUUAUGUUCGAGAGAACCGAAGAGCUUCUGUUGUCUGGGAUCAAGAGGCUGGUCGGUACGUGUCGGUUCCUGCCCAAACAAGAAUUGGACCUGGCGUCGAGC
rnacentral:lncRNA from 1 species